CAGUAGCGUAUAUUUAAGUUGUUGCAGUUAAAAAGCUCGUAGUUGGAUUUCGGGUGGGACGCAGCGGUCUCGCAUUGCGUUUGUACUGCUGCAGCCCUCCUUCUUGCCGGGGGCGGCCUCUCGGACUUCACUGUCUGGGGGUCAGAAUCGGCGAUGUUACUUUGAGUAAAUUAGAGUGUUCAAAGCAAGCUUACGCUCUGAAUAUAAUAGCAUGGGAUAACACGACAGGACUCUGGCCUAUCGUGUUGGUCUAUAGGACCAGAGUAAUGAUUAAGAGGGACAGUCGGGGGCAUUCGUAUUCCGUUGUCAGAGGUGAAAUUCUUGGAUUUACGGAAGACGAACAUCUGCGAAAGCAUUUGCCAAGGAUGUUUUCAUUGA
rnacentral:rRNA from 1 species